UUCCCAUGUAUUUUUUAUUGAAGGUUUUCCAAAAGUUUAAAUCAGUACUUAGUUGCCUCUUAAUGUAUACAAUCAAGUAGUUAGUGAGUUACGAGGUAAUACAAUCGUACUCUAAAGUCGUACAAUAACAACAUCCGCUUCUAUUUAUAAUUCAACAUAUUGACGUAGAUAGUUUACCUUCAUUUAGGUCUAUGUUAACAACUCAAAUCAACUCAACAAAGGUAUAUACACAAACAAGUAGGCAGGCAAACCAAGUUAUGUCAGAUCCGGUAAUUUCUGUAUACUCCGUUCCCUCCAUGUCUAUACAAAUCCCUGUCUAUGUUUCCAUGGGCUAUCUAGGUCCCCCUUGGCCCCUCUCCACUCCUCUCACCGUCCAGGGUGACUUUUCUCCCCAUACCAUGCCUCCCAAAUCUCUAAAAUUUUCCGUGGCCUUAGCGGUGUCGGUGGACCUUUUCUCGUAUACAUAAAAUUGUUGUAUUUUGUCUGUCAAUUGUUGUAUGGUUGGGAAACUAUGUUUUUUCCAAUUUAGUGCUAUUAGGUUUCUAGCAGCCAUUAGAACUAUCAAAAUUAAUUGUUUGUGGUUCUGCUGCGUUGUUCUGGGGAAUAACAGGAGUAAGCAGGUCGUUAUGUUCAUGGGGAAAUCCCUAACUCCCAGGUCCCUUAAUAAAUUCUUAACAUCUCCCCAGAGAGGUUGUAUACCGCUGCAUUGCCACCAUAUGUAUGGUAUAGAUCCCUCUUCCAUUUUUUAAUCCCAUUUAGGGCUUCAUCCAUUCGUCAUCUGUCAAUUCUUUCCGUCUCUCGUUCUCCCAGUUCUGUUUACAUGCUAAUGGUUUUCGGGGUGUUAAUUCUAGCCAUGCUUUAUAGCAGAGUGAGAGGGCUUUGGGUUUCGUCAGAGCUGCCCAGCAUCUGUGGGGUAUAAGUCUUGCUGCUACUGUGGUUGUAGGCAUGGUGGAUGGCGUGUUUUUGACAUGUGUGUUUAUCGCAUUUUUUAGUUGUAAGUAAGGGAAGAUAUCCCUCACUGGUACCCCCCAUUUAUCCCUUAUAUCCGGGAAACUCAUGAUUGAUUGUUCUCUGCACAGCUGUUGGAUUUGGGAUAUACCUAGGUGUGACCAUCUGGCUAGGGGGAUCGUGGGGUUCACUGCGUGGAGUGCAUUUAGGGGAGCUUCAGGGUGGAAGUGUUU